CAGGUGUUCAUCCACUGUAGUGCAGCAGUGUGCCAGCCGACUGCUACUGACCGCUGUGUGCCCACCUGUGGCAGAAGAAAACGAACUGUUGAUCCCAUGCAGAAGGACUCCUCCAAAGAAACUGUCCUAGUGUCCAGUGGGGAAGUGAUCGUGGUGGACUCGGAGCUCCCAGUUCUGGACACAGUGGUCUCCUCCAAUGAAGUGCCCCAGUUCUUCAGCUAUGGGCUGAUGGCCGUGGCUGUCUAUACAAUACUUGUGGUCUGUGCUCUGCUGCUGGUUGCCGUGAGGAGAUCAAGAUCUUUAAUCCAGAACAUAAAUCUGUAAAAUUUGACAGUAUUUUAAAAAAUAAAUGGGUUCUUUUGGA